rnacentral:ncRNA from 1 species
AUAAAGUUUUAUUCUUGCUUUGUUAUUUGCUAUUAUAAUGAUUUAUAUGUAAGGUUAUGUUUCCUAAAUGGAAUUGUACAGUAUUUAGUAUUGAUUAUUAAGGUGACUUAGAAUUAGUAAUUAUGUUAUUUUAUGGUUAAAUGCGUGCCAGCUGCCGCGGUUAGACGUGAAUUAUUAGCAAAUAUUUUUGGUUGAAGUUAUUAAUUUGAGUUAACUUUAGAAUGUUUAAUUUUUGAUGAAAUUUGAUUUUUGGGUAUUGGUUAUUAUGUAUUAUAUGAAACUUUGAAAUUUUUUAUUAAACUAGGAUUAGAUACCCUAUUAUAUUAAGUAUAUGGAUGAAGACUCGAGUAGUAUUAGUUAUGAUCUUGAAACUCAAAGAAUUUGGCGGUGUUUUAGUCCUUUUAGAGGAAUCUGUUCUGUAAUUGAUAAUACACGAUUUUUAUUACCUUUUUUAUGAGCUUAUAUACCGUCGUCAUAAGAUUAUUCUGUUUGAGGAAUAGUAAAUUUCUUGACUUUUUAUUAGAAAGUAUGUCAGAUCAAGGUGUAGUUUAUGAGAAGGAUUGAAAUGGAUUACAAUAAUUAUAAUUAUACGGAUAUAUUAUUAAUUGGUUAAUUGAAGGUGGAUUUAAUUGUAAAUUUAUUUUAAUUAAUAAAUUGAUUUAGGCUCUGGAAUGUGUACAUAUCGCCCGUCGCUCUCGUUAUAUAUGAGAUAAGUCGUAACAUAGUAGAUGUACUGGAAAGUGUAUCUAGAAAGUA